GACAGAGAGAGACAGAGCAUGAACGGGGGAGGGGCAGAGAGAGAGGGAGACACAGAAUCGGAAACAGGCUCCAGGCUCCGAGCCAUCAGCCCAGAGCCCGACGCGGGGCUCGAACUCACGGACCGCGAGAUCGUGACCUGGCUGAAGUCGGACGCUUAACCGACUGCGCCACCCAGGCGCCCCUGGAUUCUGGGUUUUAAAACUGCCAUAAAAGGGGGCUCCUGGGUGGCUCAGUUAAGCAUCUGACUCCGGGUUUCAGCUCAGGUCAUGAUCUCAUGCUUCGUGGAAUCCAGCCCCGAAUAGGCUCCAUGUGCCGACAGCGUGGAGCCUGGUUGGGAUUCCCUCUCUCUCCCUUGAUCUCUGCCACUCCGCUGCUCAUGUUCAAGCACUCGCUCCCUCCCUCUCUCUCUCUCUCUCUCUUAAAAUAAAUAAACUUUAAAUUUUUGUUAAAAAUAAAACUGCUAUAAAGGACAUGCUUUUGGAUGAUUGGAGACAUUAAAAAAAUUUUUUUAAUGUUUAUUUAUUUUUAACAGAGAGAGACAGAGCACAAGUGGGGGAGGGGCAGAGAGAGAGGGAGACACAGAAUCCAAAACAGGCUCCAGGCUUCCAGCUGUCAGCACAGAGCCUGACGAGGGGCUCAAACUCACAGACCUCGAGGUCAUGACCUGAGCCAAAGUCGGAAGCUCAACCAACCGAGCCACCCAGGUGCUGACAAUUGGAGACAUUUAAAUGCAGACUGUGUAUUCGUCUCUAAUUCUUUAGCAGCCUCAGAGCAGAAGGGCUAAGGAAGAUACAACAAUGGGAGCUUAGUGCCGGCCAAGGGGAGGGGAUCUGGUUAACACCUUCAGCUAAAGUCCGAGCCCCAGACGGAUACACCCUAGGGGAAGGGGUGUACCAAUCAGCUCUCAAAGCAACCAAAGACUGAGCCUGAUCAGCUCAGACACUAUUUGGAUUAAAAGAAUCUGCCUCCCCCACCCCCACCCCCACCCCCAUUCUCACUGUGUGAGAACCUGAUCCACUUGAGACAAAGAUAAUACCUUUUCAAGUUGGAACUAUGCCUGCAGCUCCAUGACAAGAGUUAACACCCAUUGGGUAUUUACUUCAUGCCAGAUAUGGUUCUAAGGUGCUUUCGUAUAUUAUUUCCUUUAAUCUCCACAGAAACCCUGUAAUGCAGGUCUGGCACUGGUUUUACAGAUGACGACCAUAAGGGACAGACGUCUCAAGGAACUGGUUCCUACCCCUGAGCUAACAAGUGACAGAAUCAGGUUCUGAAUCCAGCCGAUGCCGGUCCAACAUUUCCCGCCUUAAUUGCAAUGCUAGUCAUUGUUAUCAGCCUCUCAUCUGAUCUUGAGGCUUGUGCAUCUUGACUUCUGAUCUCAUCGUGACUAUCGCAAAGGAUCACUAAAUCUCCAAAGUCAAAGUCCCGCUUGCUCAGGGAACCAGUCCCCUUCCCUCCAGUUUUGCAGGUGUAAUACAGCCAUGGGUCGUGCACCGUGUGGUUUUUAUCAGAUCACAGUGGGGACUCAAGUUUUCGGAAGGAUACACCAGGCUGGGCUUCCACAUGGAUGCGUUUGCUCACGUCUCACACUUCACUUGGUAUGGCUAGAACACGGCCGUCUUAGACUUCCUCAAAUCCCAAGGAUCUCAUGGUUUCUGGACUUAAUGGUGACUGGCUUCUACCAUAGUGAGCCUAUAUGCUAUCCAGUCUCCUCCAUUUUUCUUGCUUCUUCCAGCUGACUAACCCCCACAGGGAAGUGGGGUUAACACAAAUGAAAUGUCUGGGUUUUUGUUUUUUUUUUUUUAAUGGGUGCUUUUGUGAAUUAUCACAGCUUCUUUCUUGAAGCUUGAAACAUCUGGAAAUAAAGUAACAGUAUAUUC